rnacentral:rRNA from 1 species
UACGGGGGGGGCAAGCGUUGUUCGGAAUUACUGGGCGUAAAGGGCUCGUAGGCGGCCAACUAAGUCAGACGUGAAAUCCCCAGGCUCAACCUGGGAACUGCGUCUGAUACUGGAUGGCUUGAAUCCGGGAGAGGGAUGCAGAAUUCCAGGUGUAGCGGUGAAAUGCGUAGAUAUCUGGAGGAAUACCGGUGGCGAAGGCGGCAUCCUGGACCGGCAUUGACGCUGAGGAGCGAAAGCCAGGGGGGCAAACGGG